AUUGAACGCUGGCGGCAUGCCUUACACAUGCAAGUCGAAUGGUAACAGGUUAAGCUGACGAGUGGCGAACGGGUGAGUAAUGUAUCGGAACGUGCCCAGUCGUGGGGGAUAACUGCUCGAAAGAGCAGCUAAUACCGCAUACGACCUGAGGGUGAAAGCGGGGGAUCGCAAGACCUCGCGCGAUUGGAGCGGCCGAUAUCAGAUUAGGUAGUUGGUGAGGUAAAGGCUCACCAAGCCGACGAUCUGUAGCUGGUCUGAGAGGACGACCAGCCACACUGGGACUGAGACACGGCCCAGACUCCUACGGGAGGCAGCAGUGGGGAAUUUUGGACAAUGGGCGCAAGCCUGAUCCAGCCAUGCCGCGUGCGGGAAGAAGGCCUUCGGGUUGUAAACCGCUUUUGUCAGGGAAGAAAAGGUUCUGGCUAAUACCUGGGACUCAUGACGGUACCUGAAGAAUAAGCACCGGCUAACUACGUG
rnacentral:rRNA from 1 species